UCACUUAAGGAAGCAAUAAGCAUUCAGUAAGGAAACACACGGUAAGACAAAGAGCCUGGGAUUUGGAGUCGGAAGACUAGGAUUUCUACCUUCUUACUAGUGUUUGAUCUUGUGCAAGAUAGUUACUGUUGCCUAAACAAUAACAACAGCCAGUUAACUAGUGUGAACCUCGUGACAGGCAUUGUGCUUGGAGUAUUUUCUGUGUGAGCCCCACAACAACCCUGGGAGAUGGGCAUCCACAUUAUCACUAGAGAAUUUGAGAUGAGGUUUCAGAUGAGGAAGGUGAGUUUUAGAAUGGCUGCCUGGAAGAUGAAUCUUGUCAUUACGCUUCCUUCUCACAGUAGCCCAGAAACUUCAUCUGUGUGCGGCUCUGACACUUUGGAGAAUUAACCUCCCCAAGGUCAGGGCAGAGUGCUGACACCUCAUCCGAGUGCUGACCACAGGGCGAUGCUGGAAGUUUCUCUGCUUGUUAGUUUUCCAAUUAUAUUUCCUUAAGGAAAGGGAGUUGAGUCACAGUGAUCUUACAAUGACACAAUACAGCUGCUCAAGGAAAUCCUUGACUUGACUUUCCCUGCUUUAGGUGGAUUUGGAAAGGAAACCAUUUCAUGGCACAUUCAGAAAAUAGUUAAUGACUACCAUUCAGGGACACUUAUGUUUCAGGUUCAACAGCCACAUGAUCUCUAAUCUUUAUAACAUUCCUACAUGGUUGGAUAUAUUAACUGGUUGGAAUUAUUAACUGCCCCAUUUUAUAAAAGAAGAAGCUGGGGAUCUGGGAGGUUGGUCAAAGUAGACAAGGCCAUCCAGGUAUCCAGGGCUAAAGAAAGGCAGGUUUCAAACUCAGCCCCACCUAUUUCCAAAGCCCAUGCUCUGGAGGUGCUACACGUAACUGUGGCAACUAAGAACACCCUGUGAACAACCUAAAGAGAAGCCAGGUGUCACCCAAGUUCAUCCUGACAAAUCACUGCUAAAUGUUACAAAGCCAGACGUGUAAGUAACUUUUCCCUUUAUCUGGAGACUGGUGAAUCAAUUCCAAAAUACUGGAAAAUAAAUGUAAAUAAAAUAAGGGCCUAUCGCCCUUGACUUUCUCUGUGGGCCUAGCCAACAGUAAAAUUGAGUAUUUUCAUCCCUAUUGACAUAACCUUAGUUAUUUUGUGUGGGUGGUUUCCCUUUAAGUACUUCUUGCAUUUCCCAUUUGGCAAACCAUCCUUUUAAAGCACCUCCUCUUCUAAGGGCUUUCUUUGUUUCUGAAUCUCCCUUUAACAACCUCAACACCUUUUUGCCUUUCCAGAUUUUAAAACCACCACCCAGUACCUUCGCCCUUGAACCUACAUGCCACAAGAGCUCAGCAACAUUAACACUAAAACCUUGGGAGGUUUAUGUGGCUGACCCUGGGCUACCAGUGGGAACUCUGUGAUGCUUAUUCACUGGUUUCUAAAUAACUUUUUGUACAAACAAACAGAAACUACUGGCACCCUAGAUACAUUUCCCAUGUCAACCAUUGAAUUCUCAGGCGUCUGUUGAUCCAAAAGAUCUAAACAGUUUCAUAAGAUCCUCUUGAAGCUGCAUACAUGCCAAGGAUUGAGUGAAGAUCAUAGUUACGACCACAGGAGGAAAUCCUAUCAUUGUGAGCAGCUUUCACAGGAACGGCUCAUCAAGUAUUAGCAGUGAGGUCCUGGAGGCAUCGAAAACAAAUCCACAUGCAGUAUCAUCUGACCUGAUUUUCCUACAAAGAGUGUGAACUCUGGAGCCAGACAGCCUGGGAUCCAUUCUAGUUCUGCUGUGAGCCAUCUGUCAGGAGUCAGGCAAGUUCCUUGACCUCAUUAUGCUUCAUAUGUGUUAUCUGCAACACAGGAAUUAGCUACCUUCCAAGUUGUCAUGGGGAUUACAGGCAUGCUAUAUCCAUAUUAGCCUUUACUGUUAUUAUCGCCAUGCUAAUAAUAAUCUACACACUAUUUUCUGUUCAGGUGGGAAUUUCAUUUACUACUAAAAUGUAUUCCAGGAGCACCUGGGUGGCUCAGUCGGUUAAGCGUCCAACUUUGGCUCAGGUCAUGAUCUCACAGUUCGUGAGUUCCAGCCCCACAUCAGGCACUGCUGUCAGCCCAGAGACUGUUUGGGAUCCUCUGUCCCUUUCUCUCUCUGCCCUUACCCCACUUGUGCUCUCUCUCUCUCUCUCUCUC